UGUUCGGUUUGGGCUGUGACGUGUCGCACGCACGCACACUUAUUAAUUUAUUAGUAUAAUAUACUAAUACUAUGAUGUUUGCCAUUGCCGUCUUUGUUUCGAAUCUUCCUGCACAGUGAAAGAUUCAUCAAUUUUCUUUUUCCAAACUUAUUUUAAAUGAAUUUUAUUCUAAAUAAUUAGUCACCAUUUUUUGGGUUUUCGUUUGUUGCUUACAACUUAUGGUUGAUGAUGCUUUGCAAUCAAAAAAUGCCAUUGAAUUUCUAUUUUCGAGCCCAACUGGCUCGAAAGGUUAGCCCGAACCUGAAAGUUUAGGUUAGGGUCGAGAAUUGCAUGCCCAAAAAAAUUACAAUUUGAAUGACCCGUAACCGAAUAGCCUGACAACCCAGAAGCGAGCUGGCCCGAUUGACAUCUAGUAUAGUAUGGAAAUUAUCCUUUGGCAACUUCUAAACACUAAGCAUCUCUCCAGGGGUGGCAACAUAGUUUUGAUUGAACUUGACAGCUGUAACAUAAAAUUGUUGGAUAUGCGCUGGAAUUUAUCAAGCUAAAGUCACAAUCAGGUAAGCCGAAUAAAAUGUGUAAAGAAAUUUAGACAUGUUUAGAAAUUGGGUUGUUGCCAUGACCUGAUUGGUGAUAAGGCAUGGGAAUAUAUUUCUUUUUUUACAUUCUGGUAUUCAAUUUAUUUAAGAAUAGAAACUUACAUAAACUUAGUAAUCCUGAGUUAAUGUAUGUAUACAUAUUUUCUAUGUUCAUUUAUAAUAUAUAUACCUUUAUGCAAAUCACAUAGAAUUAGUCUAAUAUUCGAAAUAUGCAAUCUUUCAAUAAUUUAUUAUCGUAUCAUGUGGGUCGUGGACCAGCAUCCGUCUUUGUGUGUAACACAAGUCGACCCCGUGGCGUUGACCCCUACAGUUAAGGGAAUAAAAGUAGUCCUUCACUAACAACAAUUGUUUUUGGUGUAGCAGGAAGCGCUUGAGGUCUUAAGAAAAGAGUAUCUGAGUCACUUUAACUAUUUUUAGCGAUCAAAGUAGACACGGAAACUUUUUUUGGUCUCUUCUAGUCCUCUACACCAACAAAAAUGGUAGUCAUGCCCUAAUGUGAAUAGAAUAUUAUGCCAUUUCCUGACAUAUAGUCAUAAACUCAUACAUGUUCUCUUCACGCACAUUGUCGAAUCUUUUUUAUUCACUAGUUCACAUUUUUUUUGCACAUCUACGGAGACCCAUCGACUUAGGGUUUAAAAGUCUGUACCGUGAGUUGUCUCUCUCCAUCGUUCUCAUUUAUCGCCGACUCUCACCGCACUCUUCAUCCAUGCACUGGCCAAAUAACCAUCGACCUUUGCAGAUAAUUUUUUAAAUAUCUCCGAACUUUUUUAUCUGCUGAAUUUGUUUCGCUGUACGGUUUUUUUCAACACAAUUUUCUUCAUACUUUAGGUAACAUAAAGAUAAUAUUUUCUGUUGUGGUAUUUCAAUGUUCUAUUUGUUCAAGGACCUUGACUUUGGUUAAGGUUCAAAUAUGUAAACACGACCACCAGGAAAAAGCGAUUUUUUAACUC